GAUGAACGCUGGCGGCGUGCCUAAUACAUGCCAGUCGAGCGAACGGACGAGAAGCUUGCUUCUCUGAUGUUAGCGGCGGACGGGUGAGUAACACGUGGAUAACCUACCUAUAAGACUGGGAUAACUUCGGGAAACCGGAGCUAAUACCGGAUAAUAUUUUGAACCGCAUGGUUCAAAAGUGAAAGACGGUCUUGCUGUCACUUAUAGAUGGAUCCGCGCUGCAUUAGCUAGUUGGUAAGGUAACGGCUUACCAAGGCAACGAUGCAUAGCCGACCUGAGAGGGUGAUCGGCCACACUGGAACUGAGACACGGUCCAGACUCCUACGGGAGGCAGCAGUAGGGAAUCUUCCGCAAUGGGCGAAAGCCUGACGGGGCAACGCCGCGUGAGUGAUGAAGGUCUUCGGAUCGUAAAACUCUGUUAUUAGGGAAGAACAUAUGUGUAAGUAACUGUGCACAUCUUGACGGUACCUAAUCAGAAAGCCACGGCUAACUACGUG
rnacentral:rRNA from 1 species